UAUAUACUUACAUUAAAAACUGUUACGAAUUGCUUAGACAAAUAUGCCCUGGUUAAUACUGGAAAAAAAAACCCUAUGUAGAACUACUUAUUUCCACAAUUGUAUAUUCAAAAAUAUCUAGAAUGUUUAAAAAAGACUUUUUGGCGACAUGGCGUUUCUCCCUCACAUUCAGAACUCUCCCCCCAAAACCCUUCCGCUUCGUUCCAGCAACCCUAACCCUCCCUCUUGCUCUCCGGCCGCUAUAUGUCUCCAUAAACAUAAACAUCCUAGGUUUUUGUUGUCUCUCCUACCGCUAUAUAAACAUCAUUCAGGGUUUUUAUCUCAUCAUUCAGGCCGUAUGUCUCUCCCACCGCAAUUAACAUCUGAUCCAUCUAUUUUGUAUCAUUAAUUUUUGAGGGUUACCAUCUGAUCGUCAAUUUCUGCAAGUUUCUAUUAUCAAUUUUGGGGGUUUGCAUCAGAUCCGAUCAUCAUAUUUGACGCAACCAUUACCAUCAUCAGCUUUUUUUCUUUUAUAUUAUCACUUUUGGGGGUUCAUGAAAUUAGGUGUAUGAUUUGUAAGACUUUUGAUUCGUUAUUCACAAUGAUUGGACUUUGCGGUCUCAGGGAUUUGUUUGACAAUAUGUUGUACGGUGGCAUCCUGUUUUCGAUCUCAAAGCUGGAGCAGCAAGAACUAUUGUGAUUUGUGCUAAUGGACGACCUCAGACUCUCGCUUCCCGUCGAGGUAAAUACAACUUAUUUAACAUUUUAACUAACGAUUGUAGUGGGCAAAGUGGGUAAUUGGUCAAUAUGAGCAUUCCUAACCUGGUCAAAAAGUGUGCCUGCAAGGUCGAUAUGAUUCAUAUGGUCAAAUCGGUCAAACCAUGUUCAUCUAACUCCAAAAGUAACUUUGCUUUUCUCGGUAAGAUACCAAUGGAUAUAAAGAGGCUGUCAAUAGAUAUACAGAAAUGAAAGCGAGGUUCCAUGAUGAUGCAACUAAACCAGAAUAAGAUUAGCGAUAGUUGGUUGAUUAUUUAGCUUUGUAUAUAAUAACUUACAAUUGAUUUUUUUUUUGAAAUACGGAUAGACAAGUUUGUUUACAUGUUGAUAAAUAAAGAAAAGUGGGUGAUUUUUGAUUGUUGUGUUUA